rnacentral:rRNA from 1 species
GACGAACGCUGGCGGCGUGCCUAAUACAUGCAAGUCGAACGCUUCUUUUUCCACCGGAGCUUGCUCCACCGGAAAAAGAGGAGUGGCGAACGGGUGAGUAACACGUGGGUAACCUGCCCAUCAGAAGGGGAUAACACUUGGAAACAGGUGCUAAUACCGUAUAACAAUCGAAACCGCAUGGUUUUGAUUUGAAAGGCGCUUUCGGGUGUCGCUGAUGGAUGGACCCGCGGUGCAUUAGCUAGUUGGUGAGGUAACGGCUCACUAAGGCCACGAUGCAAAGCCGACCGGAGAGGGUGAUCGGCCACAUUGGGACUGAGACACGGCCCAAACUCCUACGGGAGGCAGCAGUAGGGAAUCUUCGGCAAUGGACGAAAGUCUGACCGAGCAACGCCGCGUGAGUGAAGAAGGUUUUCGGAUCGUAAAACUCUGUUGUUAGAGAAGAACAAGGAUGAGAGUAACUGUUCAUCCCUUGACGGUAUCUAACCAGAAAGCCACGGCUAACUACGUGCCAGCCGCCGCCGUAA